rnacentral:rRNA from 1 species
UGAACGCUGGCGGCAGGCCUAACACAUGCAAGUCGAGCGGUAACAGAUCUAGCUUGCUGGAUGCUGACGAGCGGCGGACGGGUGAGUAAUGCAUAGGAAUCUGCCCGAUAGUGGGGGAUAACCUGGGGAAACCCAGGCUAAUACCGCAUACGUCCUACGGGAGAAAGCAGGGGACCUUCGGGCCUUGCGCUAUCAGAUGAGCCUAGGUCGGAUUAGCUAGUUGGUGAGGUAACGGCUCACCAAGGCCACGAUCCGUAGCUGGUCUGAGAGGAUGAUCAGCCACAUCGGGACUGAGACACGGCCCGAACUCCUACGGGAGGCAGCAGUGGGGAAUAUUGGACAAUGGGGGCAACCCUGAUCCAGCCAUGCCGCGUGUGUGAAGAAGGCCCUCGGGUUGUAAAGCACUUUCAGCGAGGAAGAACGCCUAGCGGUUAAUACCCAUUAGGAAAGACAUCACUCGCAGAAGAAGCACCGGCUAACUCC